GAUGAACGCUGGCGGCGUGCUUAACACAUGCAAGUCGAGCGAAGCACUUAUGAUGAUUCUUCGGAUGAACCAUUUGUGACUGAGCGGCGGACGGGUGAGUAACGCGUGAGUAACCUGCCUCAUACAGGGGAAUAACAGUUAGAAAUGGCUGCUAAUGCCGCAUAAGCGCACAGGGCCGCAUGGCCCGGUGUGAAAAACUCCGGUGGUAUGAGAUGGACUCGCGUCUGAUUAGCUAGUUGGCAGGGUAACGGCCUACCAAGGCGACGAUCAGUAGCCGGCCUGAGAGGGUGAACGGCCACAUUGGGACUGAGACACGGCCCAAACUCCUACGGGAGGCAGCAGUGGGGAAUAUUGCACAAUGGGGGAAACCCUGAUGCAGCGACGCCGCGUGAGUGAAGAAGUAUUUCGGUAUGUAAAGCUCUAUCAGCAGGGAAGAAAAUGACGGUACCUGACUAAGAAGCCCCGGCUAACU
rnacentral:rRNA from 1 species